rnacentral:tRNA from 1 species
GGGGUUGUGGCUCAAUGGUAGAGCACUUACCUGGCAUGUGUGAGGCACUGGGUUAGAUCCUCAGCACCA